rnacentral:lncRNA from 1 species
ACCUGCUUAACGGAUCUAUGAUCUCUGACCCAAUUGCUUGGAGAAGAAGAAGCAAAUUUUUUGCAUGGGAGGUUUAAGUUUGGGGUAGUUGAUGAGAAAACUCGUCUCGUCAUUUGAUAAGCCAUGAGAGAGUCAGCAGGUUAGGGCGGGCGCAGUAUAAAAUGCUGGAGAUGUUAUUGGACCUAGUGCUGCGUGAGCUCUUGUACUAAACCCGCAUAGCUGAAAGGCCUGUUUGACAGCCCAAUAUUGAAUUAUUGUACUGACAGGUUGAGGGAGCCAAGCUUACUUUGGUCCUUUAGCAAUGAGGUGUAGCAUGUCUCAAAAUGUAGCUAAAAUAUGUUGUUGAUAAG